UUCCGUAGGUGAACCUGCGGAAGGAUCAACCC
rnacentral:rRNA from 1 species